rnacentral:tRNA from 1 species
UUAAUUGAAGCUAAUAUAUAAUAGUAUUUCAUUGUUAAUGAAAAAGAAGAUUAUAGUUAAUCCUAUUAAA